rnacentral:lncRNA from 1 species
GAAAUGAGGGCUUGCAGAGUGGUCUGAAUACAGACGUCAUUUGCAGGUUGCUGGAGAGUUUCUUGGUUGCUUUCCACAACCUUUGUGGUUGGGUUAGGUCACAGCCCUCCUCCCUAACUCUUUCUUUUCUCUUUUUUCUCUUCCCCUCCCUCCCUCGCUCUGAGUUUUCUACAAAGCUGCCUUUCUGCAUCCCUACUCAUUUCCCAAGGAAGCAACCUGGGUCUUUCGUGGCUGGGGGGCAGCAGGCACCGGCUGCUCUUGCCGAAGGGGCUGCUCUGGUGCAUCCUCGUGCUCGCUGGUCCAGGACACACAGCUAAAGAGGUGCUAACGCCUGGGAACAUUUCUGCAACCAGAGGCAGCAAUGUCACCUUGCACUGCUGCAUGGUACUAUCUGCUGCUAUCGUCUCCUUGGUGAGCUGGAACCAAUGCAACGGCAUUGACCUGGUGGUCUGCCUGAACGAAGACACAGCCAACAUCUGCCCAGCAUUCAGGGAAAAGAUCUCUCUGGCAGCAGAGUAUGGGAUUACACUCCACUUACUGGGACUCAAUAACACUGGGGAUUACUGCUGUAAAUUCCACAUCUUCCCUUUUGGAGUAUUAUGAAGGCAGGAUGUUCCUGGAAGUGACAGCAGAAUCAGCACAGCCUGCCUUUUGCACCGUCCAUCCCUCAGUACUCAUCUGCCUGAUAGGAGGAGCACUCUGUGCCAUGUGUCUUGUCUUCUGGCUCACCAGGGCAAAGCUCUGUUUGGGGUCUUGCAAACAUUGAGUGAAAGCCCUUAUUGAAGAAGCCCAGCUGGACUAACAGCGAGCAGCCUUGGGAGGGUGCUCCUCGAUGCCGGGAGGGCGACAAGACGAGGGACCGUUACGAACGGCAAGGAGGAACGAGGCCUCCCAGCUAGGAGGUCAGGCAGGAGGAAGCCUAGCGGCUCGACUUCCCACCCCACCACCGCGUGGCCACCACUGCAGUAGAGCUACCACGGGUCUGUGGGACCAGUGGCAGUCUUGCACCUGACACCCGCCUUCCAUCAUCUUCUCCAAAGAAAAAUAAACCCACAAAGACACCUG